GAAAUGUGGUCUAAACGAGACCUCUGAGGAUGUUGUCUUGGGCUUUUUUGGGAAACACAGAUCCACAUUUUUCAUUUUCGGACAUUUUAGAGUCCGAACAACUCGUCCAUUCAUCCA